GACGAACUGUCCUAACGUUGUUCGGAAUCACUGGGCUUAAAGGGCGCGUAGGCGGUCCGACAAGUCAGGGGUGAAAUCCUGCAGCUUAACUGCAGAAGUGCCUCUGAUACUGUCGGUCUGGAGGGAGAUAGGGGUGUGCGGAACUUCCAGUGGAGCGGUGAAAUGCGUUGAUAGUUGGAAGGAACGCCGGAGGCGAAAGCGGCGCACUGGAUCUCUUCUGACGCUGAGGCGC
rnacentral:rRNA from 1 species